rnacentral:rRNA from 1 species
ACGCUCGACACCUACGGGAGGCAGCAGUGGGGAAUAUUGCACAAUGGGGGAAACCCUGAUGCAGCGACGCCGCGUGGAGGAAGAAGGUCUUCGGAUUGUAAACUCCUGUUGUUGGGGAAAAAGAGGAUGGUACCCAACAAGGAAGUGACGGCUAACUACGUGCAAGCAGCCCGCGGUAAUCUGAGCGGGCUGCAAGGC